rnacentral:lncRNA from 1 species
AUCAGGUGCUUCCACUGCUUCUUCAAGCCAUUUCCGGGAUCUCCCACCUUUUAUUUUUUCUGCUGGUGGCCUGGUGAGUAGUUAGUUCUUAGGGGGGUCUUUUCAAUCCGUUUUGAGCCUGGGUUUUGGGGAACCAUCCACUCUUGCUUUCACUUCCUGAUGCUAGCUGGAAGCAAGAUUAGACCUUGGGAAGUCGUGAGAAAGCAUGGGGGUGGUAUGGAGUUUUAGCCUGGGAGGGGGAAAGCUGAGGCAGGCCUUGGGGCUGCUUCUUAGCCAGGGCUCUGCUGGCGGCGACCUGGAGGCUUCCAAGGGACAGAGAACUAACUGCACAGACAACAUUUAUGAACAGCUAGGGGCCUGGGAUUGCUCGCUUUUUAUGGCAGGUGCUGCAUCAAGCUAAUGUUGCCUAUGUGCCAGAGGGCAUGCAGAUUUGAGCCUGAAUCAGGAUUCUGACCUUGCCCGCCUGGUCACCUUUUCCGGUUCCAUCCAUGUGACUGCAAGGUUGAAGAUGGAUUUGGCUUUUGGUGGAAAGUGGGCUAAAUCCUUGACAAGGGAGGAGACAUGGCUCUGUGGGCAAAGCUGGGAGGUAGAAGUCCAGCACCAGAAAAUCAGAACUUCUUUGCCUCAGGCCCACCAUGGACCAAGUUAACCAGGAUUGACAUUUCUGCAUGGGGAGGGCUGAAAGGUAGCAUGACUUCAAGUCUGAUUGAGACUCUUCAGAGAGCUGUGCACAGUUUUAAUGUGCGUGACUGUAAGGCAGAAGCUGCACAUAGUAUCAGAGAGAAGACACUGAAGCUGUAG